AGUGAACGCUGGCGGUAGGCCUAACACAUGCAAGUCGAACGGCAGCACAGUAAGAGCUUGCUCUUACGGGUGGCGAGUGGCGGACGGGUGAGGAAUACAUCGGAAUCUACUUUUUCGUGGGGGAUAACGUAGGGAAACUUACGCUAAUACCGCAUACGACCUACGGGUGAAAGCAGGGGAUCUUCGGACCUUGCGCGAUUGAAUGAGCCGAUGUCGGAUUAGCUAGUUGGCGGGGUAAAGGCCCACCAAGGCGACGAUCCGUAGCUGGUCUGAGAGGAUGAUCGGCCACACUGGAACUGAGACACGUGCCAGACUCCUACGGGAGGCAGCAGUGGGGAAUAUUGGACAAUGGGCGCAAGCCUGAUCCAGCCAUACCGCGUGGGUGAAGAAGGCCUUCGGGUUGUAAAGCCCUUUUGUUGGGAAAGAAAAGCAGCAGGUUAAUACCCCGCUGUUCGGACGGUACCCAAAGAAUAAGCACCGGCUAACUUCGU
rnacentral:rRNA from 1 species